AGACUAAAUAAUCAAGAAGCUGUAUUUGUCAACCAGUGCUCAAGACUUUAUAGUUUCAGCUAGUGUCUCACAAAAGUGUAAAGACAAUUUAAGCUGAAGGAUACCAGAAGAUUGCACUGCCUAAUUAAAGUACUGGUGCAGUGAUGAAGAUAAAGAAUACAGAGCAGGCCUGCAAGCUAAUCUACAACCCAAACACAGGAGCAACUUGUCAGCAGUGAGGGCAUAUUUUAUCGACAGCUGUGUCCAAUAAGGGCAACCCCUGUGAAAGGGUCAUUUGACUCCCCCAAGGGUUAGAAUCUGUGGGAUGAAAAACGACUUCUACAAAGAUGAGAACCCGCAGAUUACUUCCUGGCUAAUAUGGUUUGAUCAGCCAAAACCACCUGUAAGGUCUUCAAUGACACCAUGGCUCCGAUGACACAACAUCCAAAAUCAGUUUCAAAGCAACUGGCUGAAACAACCCAUCCUCACAGACGACUACAGCCAAGAUUUAACUAUAAUUCUUAAUUUUCUCAGGAUUCCCAUAAGAUUACCAGCACCCACAAUCAGCA